GGUCCCAGUUCGGAUAAGAGGCUGAAACUCGCCNCUUUGAAGUCGGAAUCGCUAGUAAUCGCAGAUCAGCAUGUUGCGGUGAAUACGUUCCCGGGUCUUGUACACACCGCCCGUCAAACCAUGAGAGUCACCAACACCCGAAGUCCGCUUUGGCGGCCUAAGGUGGGGGAGAUGAUUGGGGUUAAGUCGUAACAAGGUAGC
rnacentral:rRNA from 1 species